GAUGAACGCUGGCGGCGUGCCUAAUACAAGCAAGUCGAGCGAACAGACGAGGAGCUUGCUCCUCUGACGUUAGCGGCGGACGGGUGAGUAACACGUGGAUAACCUACCUAUAAGACUGGGAUAACUUCGGGAAACCGGAGCUAAUACCGGAUAAUAUAUUGAACCGCAUGGUUCAAUAGUGAAAGACGGUUUUGCUGUCACUUAUAGAUGGAUCCGCGCCGCAUUAGCUAGUUGGUAAGGUAACGGCUUACCAAGGCAACGAUGCGUAGCCGACCUGAGAGGGUGAUCGGCCACACUGGAACUGAGACACGGUCCAGACUCCUACGGGAGGCAGCAGUAGGGAAUCUUCCGCAAUGGGCGAAAGCCUGACGGAGCAACGCCGCGUGAGUGAUGAAGGUCUUCGGAUCGUAAAACUCUGUUAUUAGGGAAGAACAAAUGUGUAAGUAACUGUGCACGUCUUGACGGUACCUAAUCAGAAAGCCACGGCUAACUACGUG
rnacentral:rRNA from 1 species